GCUGGGCGUGGUGGCGUGCGCCUGUAGUCCCAGCUACUUCGGAGGCUGAGGCAGGAGACUUGCUUGAACCUGGGAGGCAGAGGUUGCAGUGAGCCAAGAUCAUACCACUGCACUCCAGCCUAGGUUACAGAGUGAGACUCUGUUUCAA
ensembl:misc_RNA Metazoa_SRP Metazoan signal recognition particle RNA